CCCGCUCCCUUCAGAGUAGCCUCCAGAGUGCUGGUGAACAUUCUUUACAAUUAAGAAGAUGUGUCGCAGAUAGGCUGAGCUGAGGGAAGCCGAACAGGACAGGCCCUUUUUUCACUAAUUGGUCAGGUUGAAAAGGAAUGUCAGUUGUUGUUGGGUGGAAGCAGCCAAUCAGCAAUUGGAGGGUAGACGACCGCUCAGAUCUACUCCUCAGAGACCUCUUUUCCACCUCCAGCUUUCAUUGUUAGAGCCUUAAAUCCCAUCUUGAAAAAUAUUUCACUCUUUUCCCCGUGUCUGUCAUGUCAGCGCUGCGGCCAACAGAUCGGGCUUCACAAGCUACAAAUCUGACCAUCUCCAAUCCCUGGAUCCGAGGCGUAUUACUUAGUUUUUCAGACCGACUCGGUCUCAGAUGGAGCGCUGAACUACCAUCCUCUCCCACUCCCCUCCUCUGCCUCCUUCCCUUCUGGCCUCUUUUCCUCUCUGACGGAGCCGACUGACCUGUUACCGACUGCUCUGCAUGGAGUCGGGGCCAACACUCACAGAGCCAAGGACAAGACUCUACAGGGGAAGAACCUGUCUGAACCCAGAAACUCAGGAAGAGUUUCUCAGUCUGAAACCAGCCUGUCUGAUCUCCGAAGAACCCUGGAAAGUCAAUCUGUCAGUAACCUGCCUGCCCACUCUCAGAAGAAACUGGAAGAGAAACUCAGAUUAGAAACUGCAAUAUCAGAAAUCAAGUCUCUGCCUCUACCAAGCCCUCUGCCUGCCCUCUGCCU